AUUCCUUCCUCCUGGCCCCAAGGCCCGCCCGGCCCGGCGCCGCGCCGUCGACUUCGCCCAGAUUCCUGGUCUUCCCUACGGGGGAAUAAGCUACAAGCUCUCGGCAGCAGCACGAGCGGAACCAAGUAAGCCUUGAAACUGGGCUGCUGGUUAGAAGCUCAUCUGUAUGGGGGGAAACCUUGUCUGAGCUCCAGCCAAUUGGACAAAGGCCCACUCAAGACAAAGCCAGAUGAGAAGUUGGUAGAAACAUCAGGAGAGAGCCUCACCCCCUUGCCAGUUCUGCCCUCCACACCCACCCAAUCCAGAUGAGAAAACCAAGGCACUGAAGGCUGCAAAGGGACAGAGACUGUACUUAAAUGCUGCUUUUCUGACUCUACUCAUUACAAAGAGACAGCUCACAGCAACCUCCAGCUCUUGGGCUUAGGUGAUUCUCUUGGCUCAGCCUCCGGAGUAACUGGGACUACAGGCACCCACCACAGUGCCCAGCUAUCUUUUUGUUGUUGUUGCAGUUUGGCCAGGGCCAGGUUUGAACCUGCCACCCUUGGUAUAUGGGGCUGGCGCCCUGCUCACUGAGCCACAGGUGCCACCCCCCUCCAACACUCAAUUCUUACAGUAAGACAGUGAGAUGCUGAGAACCUCUCCAACAUGGAAAUACAGGCAUACAUUUCCCCAUCAGUGGAAGGACCCUGAAUAGGUAGAGGACAGAAGGAUAGAUACUUCUUUGCCACAGGCCACACACCACAGCUGUCACCUGGUGUAAGAGCCAAGUAACUUUCUCCUUUUCCCACCCCCCAUUCCUACCCCUACCUCACCCCUACUCCCAUCUUCACCCUACCCCCACUGGCAUCAGAGCCUGGUAGGUGAAUGCUUUGGAAAUGGGGUCCUUGUAUGUAUGGGUCAUGGCCACAAAAGGUCUCCCCUCCCCUCUUGGCUUCUAAUCCUGAAAGAAGCUCUUGGCCCCACUGCUGGGCAUUGAACUAGGGCUUCAGGCCUCUCUCUGACAAACUCCCUCCUCAGGGCAGCCUAGAGACCUUCAGGUUCCACAUCCAGCACUUGGUCUUGACUAUGUUGCUCUUGACUAGGGCAUCUUCCAUCCUAAAUUUCCUCCCAGGAUGCCAGAAGCCAAGGAAGAGUCCAGCAAGAGGUGGGCUUAGAGAAGGCUCAGGGCAGGACAGAUCCCCUGGCCCUGCCCUCCCCAGAUAGUUUCCAGAAGGCUCCCUCGGCAUGGGGUUUAGUGUCCCAUCAGUGGGCCCCAGGAGGACAGCUCAGCCUAGGACCCAGGACUACAGGUUGGUACCAACCUCUCCCAUCCUUGCUGUCUACACUGGGCUCUACUCUUCCAGCUAGGUGGGUCUGUAGUAGGUCCAAGGAACUUUGGCAUCAGGCUCUGGGAGGUGGAGAGGAAGCACAGAGAGCCUCAGCAUGCUUCUGUUCUGGCCUCCAAGGCUACCACUGCCUUCUAGGAACUACCCUACUCCCUGAACCACUGAGGCUGGCAAGCUCCCUAGUGUUCCAAAGCAGGGCCUCUGUGGGUGUGUGGUAUUCCACACUCCACCUGCACAGUAAAACUAAAAAUAAAUACAACCGAGGAAUGAGGCAAGCUUUCCCACUGGGCCAACAGCCCUACAGUGAGUGUCCCAAUCUCCCCAGAUUUCUCAUCUCAGUUCCUCACUCUGUUGUAGAUUUGGCCUUAGAGAAAGAGUGGCGGAGGCUUCAAAGCACCAGGAAACCCAGCCUCCAAGGGGCCCAAUCCUGGGCUGUGGCCCUGGAGGCAGAGGUGGAAAUCACAAUCACACAUUUGCUCCUAGGUGCUCAGGCUGCCUGGCACAGGCAGCUCUGGUUAUUUAGGAAGUGCUCAAGUUUGCAUGUCAGAAGCCAUGGGGUGGGGUGGGAGACUGUGCUGAGAGUGGAAAACCCAAUCAGAAACUGCUUGGUCCCCAGGGCAAGAUGAGAGGGCCUCUGCUUCCACCUCUGGGAAUAAAUGAGUGGAGCUAGACUUAGGGGGUUGAAAUUAACUCCUCCACCAUCAAAAAUGCACAGCAGGGUGGGGAGACCCAGCUGGUGAUAGUGGUGGU